rnacentral:rRNA from 1 species
UGGGGAAUUUUGGACAAUGGGGGAAACCCUGAUCCAGCCAUCCCGCGUGUGCGAUGAAGGCCUUCGGGUUGUAAAGCACUUUUGGCAGGAAAGAAACGUCAUGGGUUAAUACCCCGUGAAACUGACGGUACCUGCAGAAUAAGCACCGGCUAACUACGUGCCAGCAGCCGCGGUAAUACGUAGGGUGCAAGCGUUAAUCGGAAUUACUGGGCGUAAAGCGUGCGCAGGCGGUUCGGAAAGAAAGAUGUGAAAUCCCAGAGCUCAACUUUGGAACUGCAUUUUUAACUACCGGGCUAGAGUGUGUCAGAGGGGGGUGGAAUUCCGCGUGUAGCAGUGAAAUGCGUAAAUAUGCGGAGGAACACCGAUGGCGAAGGCAGCCACCUGGGAUAACACUGACGCUCAUGCACGAAAGCGUGGGGAGCAAACAGG